UUUGCAAAAACGUUGUAGACAAGCUCUUGCCAAACCAGUCCCUUCCUUCUUACGCUGCCGCGCGGUUGCCACUUAUGAAGGUGCGAACUUCUUGGCUGGUGCUCGAACCCUCUUCUCUACUCCACUCUGUUUUGGCAGUGAAUCGUGUAGGCCUCUGCUUGAGCUGGGUCCUGGAUGUGUGGUUCAUGUAGCAGCUCCUGCAUUCCUAACAAGAUCUGCUUAAUCGUGAUGGCUGGCCUCCAGUCCUUGUCCUCCUCGAGGAUCAUAUGGUAAGGAAGGGAAAAGAAAGCAGGAAACACUGGAAAGAUAAAUGAGGUCUUUCCUAUGAAGACUCAACUUUUCUACAUAAUUAAGAAUUUACAGCUUAAGCACUGCCAAAAACCACAUCUGAACUGAAAUCAAUUAUCUGUGUUUGGCGUGAACGCUUUGAUAACAUGUCAAGGUGGUGGGAUUUGCUCACAAAAGGAUUGAUAGCCUGAUCCAGGAUCUGGUCUGUCUUCUCAUUGUGUGCCUCAGCUCCUGACCCUCCUGGGUCUGCCCUUCCAUGUGGUUCCUUUGCUUUCUGAGAAUGAGGGGAUCAGGGAUUCUAAACCUUCCCACAGUGGGUGUGGAAUUUGCAGGAAUGUUCCCUGUGCUGCCACAAGCAAUCACUCCUGCCUUGGCUGUUAAGGGACAAGGCUGCAGAGUUAGGUGACGAAGCGUAGGAAAUAGCCAUCGAACACUGCCAACAUACUUGAGAUAAUCAAAGUCCUCCCUCACAAAACUCACAGAAAAAUGAAACAAGUAAUUAAAGAUCACUCACACAUGUGGUAUUAAAAUAAGUGUGAUUAUGUGAAUGUAUAUACAUAUUUUCACACAAUUAUUUGCAGUGUGUUUAGAUAAGUUCUUUAUAUAGCAAACUGUUACUCGUAAAAAGCUCAGAAAUAGUUUAGCACCAGAAUAAAAAAUCUGGUGUUCGAAGUAUUAUUUGUGGAAAAAUCGGAUGUUUUUGUCUGGCGAGGGAAGGAAGCUAUGUAUUAGAGUAAAGCUGGUGAGUUUAAUCCAGGAGAAUCUGAACUCUGAUGAAUCAGUUGGUUUUCUCUCUGUUGUAUUUGUAGUGAGACAAAAUCAUGAAAGUUUCUCAAUCUCGUUUUUAGUUCUUAGGUAUAUUUUGGUAAGAAAUGGUGCGUUCACUCAGUCAACCAACGUGCACACUGAAGCCAGUCGGCAGUAUAAAAUGGGACAAAAUGUAAUCAGCACUGUGCUGGUCACACUGACUGUAUAUGGAGACUUUGUCCGAAUUUUCUACUCUGAUUCCUAUCAGAAGAAACAAAUUAACUUUUAUAGCCAUAGGGAGUAUCUGAAGAGAGUUCUCCCUAACUGCAGAGAGGUUAUGGUCCACAGUAUUUAAUUACAAAAUUUAUAAAUACUAUUUGUUGAUAAAAAUCCGUUUAAAAUAAAAGAUGCACAAAAGCCAAUAAUAAUAAGGAAACAUGACAUUUCGGAGGGUUGAAUUUAUCUCUGCGAUACCUAAAUACAUGCAAAAAAUAUAAAGAAAAAUAAAUUGUGUUUCACUAUACUUUGGAAAAGACUUGUUUUUGGUUUCUGAAAUUAUUUUUUUUCCCUGAGGUUUAAUUGUAUUUCGUGAAAUUCAGUAUCUGGAUUAACAACUUGCUUCUGAAAGCUGAUACCCAAACAGAGGGCUUUCUUUCCAGAAGGG